AGAAAAUAGGUGCCCGUACCGCAAACCGACACAGGUAGUCAAGAUGAGAAUUCUAAGGUGAGCGAGCGAACUCUCGUUAAGGAACUCGGCAAAAUGACCCCGUAACUUCGGGAGAAGGGGUGCUCUUUAGGGUUAACGCCCAGAAGAGCCGCAGUGAAUAGGCCCAAGCGACUGUUUAUCAAAAACACAGGUCUCUGCUAAACCGUAAGGUGAUGUAUAGGGGCUGACGCCUGCCCGGUGCUGGAAGGUUAAGAGGAGUGGUUAGCUUCUGCGAAGCUACGAAUCGAAGCCCCAGUAAACGGCGGCCGUAACUAUAACGGUCCUAAGGUAGCGAAAUUCCUUGUCGGGUAAGUUCCGACCCGCACGAAAGGCGUAACGAUUUGGGCACUGUCUCAACGAGAGACUCGGUGAAAUCAUAGUACCUGUGAAGAUGCAGGUUACCCGCGACAGGACGGAAAGACCCCGUGGAGCUUUACUGUAGCCUGAUAUUGAAAUUCGGCACAGCUUGUACAGGAUAGGUAGGAGCCUUUGAAACGUGAGCGCUAGCUUACGUGGAGGCGCUGGUGGGAUACUACCCUAGCUGUGUUGGCUUUCUAACCCGCACCACUUAUCGUGGUGGGAGACAGUGUCAGGCGGGCAGUUUGACUGGGGCGGUCGCCUCCUAAAAGGUAACGGAGGCGCUCAAAGGUUCCCUCAGAAUGGUUGGAAAUCAUUCAUAGAGUGUAAAGGCAUAAGGGAGCUUGACUGCGAGACCUACAAGUCGAGCAGGGUCGAAAGACGGACUUAGUGAUCCGGUGGUUCCGCAUGGAAGGGCCAUCGCUCAACGGAUAAAAGCUACCCCGGGGAUAACAGGCUUAUCUCCCCCAAGAGUUCACAUCGACGGGGAGGUUUGGCACCUCGAUGUCGGCUCAUCGCAUCCUGGGGCUGUAGUCGGUCCCAAGGGUUGGGCUGUUCGCCCAUUAAAGCGGUACGCGAGCUGGGUUCAGAACGUCGUGAGACAGUUCGGUCCCUAUCCGUCGUGGGCGUAGGAAAUUUGAGAGGAGCUGUCCUUAGUACGAGAGGACCGGGAUGGACAUACCUCUGGUGUACCAGUUGUCGUGCCAACGGCAUAGCUGGGUAGCUAUGUGUGGACGGGAUAAGUGCUGAAAGCAUCUAAGCAUGAAGCCCCCCUCAAGAUGAGAUUUCCCAACUUCGGUUAUAAGAUCCCUCAAAGAUGAUGAGGUUAAUAGGUUCGAGGUGGAAGCAUGGUGACAUGUGGAGCUGACGAAUACUAAUCGAUCGAAGACUUAAUC
rnacentral:rRNA from 1 species